rnacentral:rRNA from 1 species
AUUGAACGCUGGUGGCAUGCCUUACACAUGCAAGUCGAACGGCAGCACGGGAGCAAUCCUGGUGGCGAGUGGCGAACGGGUGAGUAAUACAUCGGAACGUGCCCAGUUGUGGGGGAUAGCCCGGCGAAAGCCGGAUUAAUACCGCAUACGACCUACGGGUGAAAGCGGGGGAUCGCAAGACCUCGCGCAAUUGGAGCGGC